GACGAACGCUGGCGGCGUGCUUAACACAUGCAAGUCGAGCGAUAACCAGACCUUCGGGUCUGGGGAAAGCGGCGAACGGGUGAGUAACACGUGGGCAACCUGCCCUGGAGACUGGGAUAACGUCCCGAAAGGGACGCUAAUACCGGACGACGCGUGGUCCGCCAAGUGGACUACGCCAAAUGGUAGCUUCGGCUUCUGCUCUGGGAUGGGCCCGCGCCGGAUUAGGUAGUUGGUGAGGUAACGGCUCACCAAGGCAACGAUCCGUAGCUGGUCUGGGAGGACGAUCAGCCACACUGGGACUGAGACACGGCCCAGACUCCUACGGGAGGCAGCAGUGGGGAAUCUUGCGCAAUGGGCGAAAGCCUGACGCAGCAACGCCGCGUGAGCGAAGAAGGCCUUCGGGUUGUAAAGCUCUGUCAGGAGGGACGAAGCCACUCAGGUUAAUAGCCGAGAGGGUGACGGUACCUCCGGAGGAAGCCCCGGCUAACUACGUGCCAGCCGCCGCCGUAACAC
rnacentral:rRNA from 1 species